rnacentral:rRNA from 1 species
CUCCUACGGGAGGCAGCAGUGGGGAAUAUUGCACAAUGGGGGAAACCCUGAUGCAGCGACGCCGCGUGGAGGAAGAAGGUCUUCGGAUUGUAAACUCCUGUUGUUGAGGAAGAUAAUGACGGUACUCAACAAGGAAGUGACGGCUAACUACGUGCCAGCAGCCGCGGUAAAACGUAGGUCACAAGCGUUGUCCGGAAUUACUGGGUGUAAAGGGAGCGCAGGCGGGAAGACAAGUUGGAAGUGAAAUCUAUGGGCUCAACCCAUAAACUGCUUUCAAAACUGUUUUUCUUGAGUAGUGCAGAGGUAGGCGGAAUUCCCGGUGUAGCGGUGGAAUGCGUAGAUAUCGGGAGGAACACCAGUGGCGAAGGCGGCCUACUGGGCACCAACUGACGCUGAGGCUCGAAAGUGUGGGUAGCAAACAGGAUUAGAUACCCUGGUAGUCCACACCGUAAACGACGAUAAUGAGGUGUUGGAGGAUUGACCCCUUCAGUGCCGC